rnacentral:rRNA from 1 species
AGGGAAUCUUCCGCAAUGGACGAAAGUCUGACGGAGCAACGCCGCGUGAGUGAAGAAGGCCUUCGGGUCGUAAAACUCUGUUGCCGGGGAAGAACAAGUGCCGUUCGAACAGGGCGGCACCUUGACGGUACCCGGCCAGAAAGCCACGGCUAACUACGUGCCAGCAGCCGCGGUAAUACGUAGGUGGCAAGCGUUGUCCGGAAUUAUUGGGCGUAAAGCGCGCGCAGGCGGCUUCUUAAGUCUGAUGUGAAAUCUUGCGGCUCAACCGCAGGCGGUCAUUGGAAACUGGGAGGCUUGAGUGCAGAAGAGGAGAGUGGAAUUCCACGUGUAGCGGUGAAAUGCGUAGAGAUGUGGAGGAACACCAGUGGCGAAGGCGGCUCUCUGGUCUGUAACUGGCGCUGAGGCGCGAAAGCGUGGGGAGCAAAC